rnacentral:rRNA from 1 species
GGCGAACGCUGGCGGCGUGCUUAACACAUGCAAGUCGAGCGGUAAGGCCCUUUCGGGGGUACGACGAGCGGCGAACGGGUGAGUAACACGUGGGUGACCUGCCCUUACGCUCUGGGAUAAGCCUGGGAAACGUGGGUCUAAUACCGGAUAUGACUCCAUAACGCAUGUUGUGGGGUGGAAAGCCUUGUGCGGCUAGGGAUGGGCCCGCGGCCUAUCAGCUUGUUGGUGGGGUGAUGGCCACCAAGGCGACGACGGGUAGCCGGCCUGAGAGGGCGACCGGCCACACUGGGACUGAGACACGGCCCAGACUCCUACGGGAGGCAGCAGUGGGGAAUCUUGCGCAAUGGGCGAAAGCCUGACGCAGCGACGCCGCGUGGGGA